ACUCGAAUAGCCUAUAUAGGGCGUGGCACUGAAGAUGCCGAGGAAACUUAAAGUUUUUGAGUA
rnacentral:tRNA from 3 species